AUGCAAAAAGGAAAAAGGGGAUGGAUGAGAGAGCGGGGCGAGUCUCCCGAUCCCCUCUUCCAGUGGAAUUCUUUACAGGCAAUAGAAGAGACGAUAAGGGAAGAACAAGCAAAGAUAGAGAAGGAAAUCUCCAUCGAUUUACAAAAGGACAAAGGUACCGUCAAUUCUUCAAUUUGCUUUGCCCUGGAUCAAGCGGCAACUGCCGCUACCCUUUGUCAACAUCGCCAAUGGCGCCCGCGUCCAAGCGCCUCGGAUGUUCUUCCUAACAAGGUCCCGGCCGUCGGCUUGGUUCUCAAAAGCGACGGCCCGGUUGCGCCUCGACCCCGCGCGAACCCGCCGCGACAAUAG
rnacentral:rRNA from 1 species